rnacentral:rRNA from 1 species
UGUAGUCUCGCACAGAUGCAUAUCAAUAAGCGGAGGAAAAGAAACUAACAAGGAUUCCCUUAGUAACGGCGAGUGAAGCGGGAAGAGCUCAAAUUUGAAAUCUUCAAGGUUUUACCUUGACGAAUUGUAGUUUAAAGAAGUGUUUUCUGUUGAAGUUUUGGUAAAAGUUCUUUGGAAUAGGACAUCAUAGAGGGUGAGAAUCCCGUAUUUGACCAUUAUUUUCAGCUGUGUGAUACACUUUCAAAGAGUCGGAUUGUUUGGGAAUGCAGUCCAAAAUGGGUGGUAAAUUUCAUCUAAAGCUAAAUAUUGGCGAGAGACCGAUAGCGAACAAGUACCGUGAGGGAAAGAUGAAAAGAACUUUGAAAAGAGAGUUAAACAGUACGUGAAAUUGUCAAAAGGGAAGCGUUUGUACACCAGUGUUGUUUUCUCGAAAAUCAAUUAAAAAGAGUUUAGAUUUUGUUGUGUAUUGACCUUAACAGCUUGCAUUUCAAUUUUCUUGCUUUUUUUAAUGCACUUUUCGUUUAACAAGUCAACAUCAGUUUCUUUUGUUGUAAAAAGGUCAUCGGAAGGUGGCUUUCUUUUCGGAGAAAGUGUUCAUAGCCUUUGACUCCUGCAAUCGGAGAGACUGAGGUCUGCAGCGUAGAUCCUUCGGGGUUAGAUACAUUUGUGCUAAGUUAUAGCUUUUUAUAGACAACUUGUUGACUAUGAUUAGUCUUGUAGCUUACUCGCUUAUGCUAUUUUACCUACGCUUAGGAUGUUGAGCGCAUGUCUCUCUCU